rnacentral:lncRNA from 1 species
GCUAAAAACCUAAAUACUAACAGUUGGAUUGACUCAGGGAAAGGCGCAAGCUCAGUACCUGUCGUUAGAUCUGUGAACGUCUGGCAUGAGUUUUCAGGAGUGAAUCUAAUCUCGACUCUCCUCUUCCCUUCUCUUCCGAGCAGCAGCGUUCCUUCUGAUGAUGAUGUCAUUCCCAGCAAGGGAAAAGGAGCUGGCAGAGGGAGAAAGCCAGCAGUGAAGAAAUAGACUGAUCUGCGGCAAGGUAUCUACGAGAGCCAGAAGAGACCAGAGAUUUUUGUGCUGUUUUCUG